UAGCCCUGGGAAACUGGGAUUAAUACCACAUAGUAUUGCAUAAUUUAUUUUUAUGCAAUUAAAGCUCCGGCGGUUAAAGAUGGGUGUGCGUUAGAUUAGCUAGUUGGUAAGGUAAUGGCUUACCGAGGCUACGAUCUAUAGGGGGCGUGAGAGCGUGGACCCCCACACGGGUACUGAGACACGGACCCGACUCCUACGGGAGGCAGCAGUAAGGAAUAUUGGACAAUGGGCGCAAGCCUGAUCCAGCCAUCCCGCGUGAAGGAUGACGGCCCUAUGGGUUGUAAACUUCUUUUAUUAAGGAAGAAACCUUUUCAUUUAU
rnacentral:rRNA from 1 species